rnacentral:rRNA from 1 species
AUUGAACGCUGGCGGAAUGCUUUACACAUGCAAGUCGAACGGUAGAGGGGGCAACCCCUCGAGAGUGGCGAACGGGUGAGUAAUAUAUCGGAACGUGCCCAGUCGUGGGGGAUAACGUAGCGAAAGUUACGCUAAUACCGCAUACGAUCUAAGGAUGAAAGCGGGGGAUCGCAAGACCUCGCGCGAUUGGAGCGGCCGAUAUCAGACUAGGUAGUUGGUGGGGUAAAGGCUCACCAAGCCAACGAUCUGUAGCUGGUCUGAGAGGACGACCAGCCACACUGGAACUGAGACACGGUCCAGACUCCUACGGGGGGCAGCAGUGGGGAAUUUUGGACAAUGGACGCAAGUCUGAUCCAGCCAUUCCGCGUGCAGGAUGAAGGCCCUCGGGUUGUAAACUGCUUUUGUACGGAACGAAAAGGUCUCUCUUAAUACGGGGGACUCAUGACGGUACCGUAAGAAUAAGCACCGGCUAACUACGUGCCAGCAGCCGCCGUAA